rnacentral:lncRNA from 1 species
AUUGUGGUUUUUGGUUUCUGUAACGCGCGUUUCUACGGCUCGUGGAAACGCCCCGAGCUCCGGGAGGCGUCGGCGACGGCACAGCCUGGGACGGCCAGGAGCGGGAGGGAAGCCGGGCGCUCCGGCCAGCAGCGGCCGGCUGGGAGGAGCUCGGUCCCCGCUCAGCCUGCGGCGCUGAAUCGCGAUAGUCGCAGUUUUGCGAAGAAACUGAGCGUCCC